CACGUAGGGCGCAAGCGUUGUCCGGAAUUACUGGGCGUAAAGCGUGCGUAGGCGGUUCGUUAAGUCUGUUGUGAAAGCCCCGGGCUCAACCUGGGAAUGGCAAUGGAUACUGGCGAGCUAGAGUGUGUCAGAGGAGAGUGGAAUUCCCGGUGUAGCGGUGAAAUGCGCAGAUAUCGGGAAGAACACCCGUGGCGAAGGCGGCUCUCUGGGACGGUACUGACGCUGAGACGCGAAAGCGUGGGGAGCGAACAGG
rnacentral:rRNA from 1 species